GCGGUAGUGGUAUAGUGGUGAGCAUAGCUGCCUUCCAAGCAGUUGACCUGGGUUCGAUUCCCAGCUACUACA